AUUGUUAUAAGCUCCGCCCUGUACACCUGGCAGUCAGUAUAGCGAGAGCCGCCUCCAUCUUAGCUCCCUGUCAAUCAUUGUUAUAAGCUCCGCCCUUUACACCUGGCAGUCAGUAUAGAGAGAGCCACCUCCAUCUUAGCUCCCUGUCAAUCAUUGUUAUAAGCUCCGCCCUUUACACCUGGCAGUCAGUAUAGAGAGAGCCGCCUCCAUCUUAGCUCC
rnacentral:lncRNA from 1 species